AAAAAUUAUAUUAAUUACUUAGUUGUAAAAUAUUAGGAAUUUCACUGUCCGUUAGCGAAACAAAGUAGUGAUUCCGACUAUAAAACAGUAACAUCUAUUCGCAGCCAAGAAGCUUAAAGCCUUCCAAACAAACAAGCUAGUUAACGGAGCGUCUCUCUCUGAUGUCUUCCAUCAUUUUGAUUUAUUUUACGACCAAGCAAAAUCAUCCUCCACCCGUAUGCGCUCAUACACGUCCAAGGAGAUGACGAUUGCGCAACUUUACAGCCACGACGAGUCCUCUGUUUGCGAUUGUCCUAUUCGUGACUCGUUUGUAAAUCAGUGAUGAGUAAACUGCACCCCCAACCUUUGGACGUGUAUUUUGAAAAUAGUCAAAAGUGAAUUUUCAAGUAUUCCAUCAUUCAUAGUGUUUAAAAUAUCUUCUUAAGAUUUAGUUGAACAUAAGCGAAGAACCAAGCAAAGGAGGUUAAGAUCCAGCACCUGAGCCAAGAUCCUCCUCUCGACGGCGGUGAAGUAUAGGAAGAA